rnacentral:lncRNA from 1 species
CUAUGAUUUUAGAGAAUAAGAAAGGUAUUGAGAAGUAUAAGAGAGAUUCAAGAGAGAUUAGAGUGUUUAAGAGAAAAUGUAUGAGAUUAUCAUGAUGAACUAGAGAGAGAGACCCAUAAACUCGUGUUUUCUUAUUAAUCAACCAGAGUACAAGUUAUAGAGUAAGGAAGAGAGACACUAGGUUAAACAUUAGGAGAGUAGAAGCAUGUGGAGUCAAAGGGAAGAGGAGCGUCCAUUUGAAAUGAUCCAAUGGGAGAGCUCACACGCUUUGGUAUCUUGGCAUCUAUGACCAAGAUGCUGUUUGCUUUACAGCCUGGAACAGCUAGAGACGCGCUGGUCUUCUUCCCUCAACGGACUGAUCAAUAAGAUGGUAACAAGGUUAAUCUCUCCGGUUAACUUCACUUGGGUAACUUUAGACUGAUCCCCUUUCCCUAAGUGUACGGCCUCACUUGUACGGCCUUGGCUUGUACGGACAUCCCUCAUGUACUGAUUCCUUUAUUCAGAAUCCUCUCAUCCCUUCAUGCCUUUACCUUGAUGUCUCUUCUCUUCUUUUAUUGAAUCCUCUCAUCCCUUCAUGCCUUUACCUUGAUGUAUCUUCUCUUCUUUUAUUUAACACUCCCCCUCAAGCUUAGACUCUUACAAAGCUAAGCUUGGAAAGGCCAUGAGAUCUUUCUUCCUCAUUAAAAACCUCACCAAAGAAAACCCAUUGGGACAAAACUUUGAUGAGGGAAAAAGAGUGAAGAACUCAUGGCUAAGGGGAUCAGCUCCUUGGUGUAAGAUCUAUGAGUCCCAAUCUGAUGUGAAUGGACUCCAUAGUCUUUUGUCUUGCAGCCUUGGUGAACACAUCCGCAAGUUGAUCCUCACUCCUCGUAUAGCAUGGCAGGAUUACUCCCAAGACAAUCAUCUGCCUCACCUUGUGACAAUCAACUUCAAUGUGCUUGGUUCUCUCAUGGAAGACUGAGUUGGUUGCAAUGUGUAUAGCCGCUUGAUUAUCACAAUGCAUAGUCAUUGGAGUCGCUUGCUCUAUCUCCAAAUGCUUCAAGAUCCCUUUAAUCCAUACCAACUCAUUGGUAAGCUUCAGCAUUGCUCUAUACUCAGCUUCAGCACUUGAACACGACACCACCUUCUGUUUCUUGCUCUUCCAAGUCACCAAGUUGCCUCCAAUGAAUUUACAAUAGCCGGUGGUUGAUCUUCUGUCUGCUCUAUCUCCAGCCCAAUCAGCGUCACAAUAUCCCACCACUUCAGUACUCUUGUUGCAUCCCAUCCACACUCCAAGGCUUGAUGUCCCGUUCAGAUACAAGAGAAGUCUCUCCACCAUGCGCCAGUGAUGUUCCUUUGGGACUUGCAUAUGCUGGCUCACUUGAUUCACAGCAAAGCAUAUGUCUGGUCUUGUGAUAGUGAGAUAGAUGAGCUUCCCUACCAGCUUCCUGUAUAGCUUUGGAUCAUGAAAGGCCUUGCUAUCUUCAAUCUCCCCCUCACGUGGAAUCUUGUAUCCAUCUUCAAGGGGCAUCUUUGCUGCCUUAUCUCCUUGUAUACCUGCAUCUUUCAAAAGAUCAAGUGUAUACAUCCUUUGGAAAAUGAACAAUCCUUCCUUAGAUCUACACAACUCAAUUCCAAGGAAGUAUUUCAUUUCUCCUAAGUCUUUGAUUUCAAACACAUAUUUCAAAAACUCCUUUGUGGCUUUUAUACCAGCCUUAUCACUACCUGUUAUUAUGAUGUCAUCAACAUAUACAAGUAGGCAAAUGAUACCUGAGGGUGUAGUGAGAGUGAAGAGAGUGUGAUCCAGUUCAGACUUCUUGAACCCACGUCCGUUUAAGGUAGUACUCAAUUUGUUGUACCACGCUCUAGGAGAUUGCUUUAGUCCAUAGAUAGCCUUCUUGAGUCUCAAUACAUUUCCAGGUUUCACAAGAUGCUCUAGGCCUGGUGGUGGAUGCAUAUACACUUCAUCCUCUAACUCUCCUUGAAGAAAGGCAUUCUUCACAUCCAUCUGCCAAAGCUCCCACUCAAGGUUCACAGCAAGGGACAAUACAAUCCUUAUAGUAUGUAGCUUGGCAACAGGAGCAAAGGUAUCAAUGUAGUCUUCCCCAUAUGUUUGAGUGUAUCCUCUAGCCACCAAUCUUGUCUUCUUCCUCUCAAUGGUUCCAUCAGGUAGAUACUUGAUAGUGAAUAUCCACUUGCUUGUUACUGCCUUCUUCCCUUUUGGCAACUCACUUUCAAACCAAGUGUCAUUCUUUAUCAUAGCAUUAGCUUCAUCACCCACUGAUUCUUUCCAAUCUUCAUGUAGCAUUGCUUCUUCAUAUGAUCUUGGUACACUACUUUCAUCUAAGCUUGUAAUGAACGCGCAAUGUUCCUUUGGGUAACUAGCAAAAGAACACACAGCCUGAGAGGGAUGCUUCACAGCCUGAGCAUUGUAGUACACUCUCGUGUUUACCCAGUUGGAAGCAUCCUUCUUCAACCGUGUGCUUCUCCUUAAUGGAACUGGUUCCACCUCCACCACUGUAGGCUGAACCACUUCUCCUUCUACUUCAUCUGGUUCCACUUCUUGAAUGGAUUCUUCCUCGCUUUGUAUCACACCUUGACCAUGACCAUCUGAGUCUUGAUCUUCAUGAUCUUCAGGCUCAGCCUCAUUUUCCCCCUCAUGAUCAUGGUGUGAUGGUUCUUCAGCUUCAUUCUCCUUUGUUGGUUGCUGAUCCUGGGACAUGUUGAUUCCAAGUCCUUCCAGUACACGCCUAAGACUUGUAGCUCGAUCAGAUGGUUGAGACAAAUCUUCAAGAUCUUCCCACUUUCUAUCUCCAUAAAAGCUCUUAUCCGCCAAGAACUUAACAUCUCUAGACACAAGAACUCUCCUGGCUUCUGAAUCAUAGCAUUUGUAUCCCUUUUGUGAUGUUGAGUAGCCAAUGAACAUGGCUCUUGUGCUCUUUGCUUCUAGCUUAUUCCUUAGCUCCCCGGGUACAAGUACAAAGCACACACAUCCAAAGACUCUUAAAUGAUCCAGCACAGGUUUGCUUCUGUUUAGAACUUCAUAAGGUGCCUGAUCCUCCAAGAUCUUGGUUGGUAUCCUAUUGAUCAGAUAACAAGCCGAGAUCACAGCAUCACUCCAGAAUCUUUUAGGCACUCUUGUGUGAAACAUCAUAGACCUUGCCACCUCCAUUAGGUGUCUAUUCUUUCUCUCAGCUACACCAUUCUGUUGAGGAGUGUAUGGACAACUUGUCUGAUGUAGAAUCCCAUGUUGAGCUAGAUGACUCUUGAAUGCAUUGCCAGUAUAUUCUCCACCAUUAUCAGACCUGAAAAUCUUAAUCUUGGCAUUAUAUUGGUUAGAUACAUAAGCUUGGAAAUUUUUAAAUGCAUCAAGGACCCUAUCCUUUGUUUUAAUGAGUGUUAUCCAGGUGUAUUUAGAUGUUUCAUCUAUAAAUGUGACAAAGUACUUGUAAUUAUCUCUAGAUAAGCAGGGAACAGUCCAUACAUCAGAGUGAACAAGAUCAAAACACUUAUCAUAGAUAGUAGUAGAUCUUUUAAACACAUUCUUACAAUGUUUUCCCAAAAUACAAGCCUCACAAUCAUUAUUUUUAAACAUGACACAUGGUAACAUUAAGCUUAAGGCUCUAACAUGUGGAUGUCCUAGCCUAGAAUGCCAUAAUGCACCUUUACUUAAAACAGAACUCAGCAAACAACUAGAAAUGGGUUUAAUAUCUUCAAGUACAUAAAGAUCCCCCCUUGUUACACCUUGUCCAAUCAAAUCAUUGCUCUCAAUAUCCUGAAAUGUCACAUUGUUAGGACUAAAGAUAACAUUACAUUGUAGAUCAUUGGUACAUCUUUUAACAGAUAAGAGGUUAGAAGUGAAAUCAGGCAUGUAAAAUGCUUUAGUGUUCUUACCAAAUAGCUUUAAGUCUCCUACACCUUUAAUAGGAAUUCUAUCUCCAUUUGCAAUCAUUACAUGUCCAUGAGCAGGUUCUAUGUUUUUAAUCAAGCUAUCAUCACUAAUCAUGUGAUGAGAUGCACCAGAGUCAACAAUUAAUGGUUUUAUGCCUCUAGCAAGAUGAGUUCUAGGUGAUUCAUUUCUUAGUUUUAAUUCAUCAAUGAUAUCUAUCAAUCUAUUCUCAUUCCUAGGCAUCAUAUGAGCAGUGUAAGAGUAACCAAGAGUGUUUCCGAAUGUACCAGACUCCUUAUGAGCUUUGAUGAGGGCAUCAAUGUCAGAUUUGCGGAUCACUUCAUGCUCCAAACUCUUUGUGGCCGUGUAGUGAGUUGCCAUUGCCUUUCCUGCGCUUUCACCCACUUGUGCACUUGAGCCUGCUCCUGAUGGACCGGCUUCACUUGCUUCAGUAGACAGGUUAGCUCUGGCUUCUCGGCCUUUGUUGAACUUGGCCGGCUUGAGAUGGGGAUGAAGGAUCCAGCACUGGCUCCUCUUGUGUCCCGGCUUCUUGCAGUGAUCACAGUUGCCUCCAAACCUCCUCUCAUCACCAUACUUCCUCUCAUCAGUCUUGUAUGCUGCACGGUUAGCUUGCGCUCCUUCCUCAGCCUUGUUGGCUAGAGCUAAGUCUCCCUUGCUUCCGAAGAGACCAAGUGACCCUUCCUCCUUCUGAAGUUGCGCACACACUUCCUCCAUAGAUGGGAGAUUUGGCAUCCUCAACAUGUGCUUGAUCACAUCGUUGAAUGGAGGAUCCAACGUUAACAGCAACCCAAACACCUGAUCCUGCUCCCUCCUCUCCAUGAGUAGCUCUUGAUCAUUAGUGCUUGGCCUCAACGAUUCAAGCUCAGACCACAAGGAUCUAUACUUGCCCAAAUGCUUGGUGAACUCCUCUCCAUCUUGUACCAGUGUGUUGAUAGCUUUCUUGAUCUCAUACACACGGUUCAGAUUGGUAACGUUCCCAAAAGUCUUUUGGAGUACCUCCCACAGGUGUUUUGGAGUCUCGCAGUAACUGUAGGCUUCCAAGAGAGGUUCUUCAAGUGAUCCUUGCAGCACAGAUAGCACCAUCAAGUCAUCUUGAAUCCACUUCUUUCCAUCAGCAACCGCGAGCUCUCUUCCACCUUCUUCCUCACUGGCCACUGGUGCUGGAGCUUCAUCUGUGAUGUGACCCCAUAACCCUAGCCUCCCAAUGGCUGUCUUCACAAGCCUAGACCACAACAGGUAGUUUCCCCCACCCUUGAGUGAAAUCGAAACCGUAAUAACCUUGCUUCCCCCAUCUUGAUUUGCUUGAACUUUGUUUAGAAUCUCACAAGAAAGAACGUGUAUCUGAAGCUGAAGAACACAAGAUCUCAAUACCACAGCCAACCUGGCUCUGAUACCAUAUGAUUUUAGAGAAUAAGAAAGGUAUUGAGAAGUUUAAGAGAGAUUCAGGGUGUUUAAGAGAAAGUGUAUGAGAUUAUCAUGAUGAACUAGAGAGAGAGACUCAUAAACUCGUGUAUUUUAUUAAUCAAGACAGAGUUUACAAUAUAUAGGUAGAGACAUAAGGGUUUUCAGAAAGCAUAAGCAUGUGAAGUCAAGGAUAAGGUUUGCUUUAAUUCAAACUGAGCCAAUAGGAGAAGCCACACGCUUUUGGGAUCU